CACCACGUGUUUCCGAGUCUAGAUGACAACAUGUCUGAUUCAAAUUACAUGACAUCUCGAGCAAUCCUUUCCACGACAAACGACAAUGUCGACAAGAUAAACAUCCGCAUGAUAGAGCGUUUUCAGGGAGAUGAAGUAAUAUACCAUAGCUUUGACAGUGCGGAGGACGACCCAUAUGGCUACUACGCUCAGGAGUUUCUGAAUGGAUUGACUCCUAACGGUCUUCCUCCGCAUGCACUCAAGCUAAAGCUGAACUGCCCUGUCAUACUUCUAAGGAACAUUGAUCCAGCAAAUGGAUUGUGUAACGGCACUAGGCUUGUUGUUAGAGGUUUUGAGAGGAACACCAUUGAUGCAGAAAUCGUGAUUGGACAACACGCUGGCAGGAGGGUCUUCCUUCCUCGAAUACCUCUCUGCCCAUCUGAAAACGACAUGUUUCCGUUCAAGUUUAAGAGGAAGCAAUUUCCUAUAAGGCUUAGCUUUGCUAUGACCAUUAACAAGGCUCAAGGGCAGACAAUCCCGAUUGUUGGUGUCUACCUACCCAAUCCCGUGUUCUCUCAUGGUCAACUCUAUGUUGCUUUGUCUCGAGCCACCGCAAAGAGAAACAUAAAGAUACUCAUUCAGAAGGAGAAGCCGAAGGAGAAGUCCAACAAGCAAAAGGACAAUCCAAAGAAGCGAAAAAGACCGACCGUGUCAUUACUAACCUCGAUGAAGAACAUCGUCUACAAGGAAGUCCUUACAGGCUGAAGUCCGGUCUUAAUAGACCGGCAGGUUAUGUAAUGACACAACAUUUACUCUUGUGAUGGUCAAGAUUUAUUGUAAUUCGUUUUUUUACAUAUAUCUUUUUUAUUUGGUAUUUUGAUAGUUGGAGGUAUACUCCAUUUAGUUGAGCUACUAACUGCAUUUCAAUAAUCAGCCGUCAUGUUGGCACCAUCAUCGCUGUUAUAUCUUUUCUACUAUCGCAAUGUUUCUGGCAGUGUACAUGUCACCCACCGUAGUAUUUCAUGUGUAAUAUGUGAUUCAGAUAUAAUGAUUGGCCUGAAAAAUACCUGGAACAUGCAAUGAAACUUUUGUGUUACGGCAAGUGAUCAUAUCCAUUGUUAUUAUUUUGAUAUUUUGAUAAUAUGGUUGAAUGUAAAUUUAUUGGCGUCCUUAUUAUCCCUGUAUUAUUCUGAUAGGUCAGAAGUAUAGGAUUAUGAUUGGUCUGAAUUAUAAGACCAACACACGCAGAAGGGAAGUUUGUGUAGCUUUUCAAGAUAUAUUUUGCAUAUGUACAUCUAAUAAAUAAUAAAAUGGUAGCCUGCGUACUUGCAAAUAUGUUCAAAUGCCCGUGCGACUCUGGAGAAUGUGACAAUGCACGUGUCUGAUCGCUGAAGUGUGCAAUCUUUGGAAAAAAGAUUGAUUACUUGUAUUUUCACGCGUCUGAACUAAUUAUUUAUCAGUUCAGUUCGAGUUUCAUUUUUAUUUUUUGCAUUGGUUCAUGUACCUUCAUGAGUUUACUGUGGAUCUGAAAGAGUUCUAACCUAAAAAAUUGUACAAGGCUGCAUUAAUCUAGGACCUGGCGAGGAUUGGUUCAGAGAGCAAGCAUCGUUCUGCAGUAUCUUAAGGACGCUGGUUGGGCUGAGGGUGGUCGACUUAUAGGUUGCACCCAGCCAAGACGAUUGGCUGUGCAGAUAUCCAUGAAGCCAGCCUCAUGACACUUGACGAAACACGUGCGUACGUCAAUGGUGUUGUUCAAGCUAGGAACAAUGGAGGCUAGAAGUAUCUGUGUACACAAGUGCACAAUUUGUCUUAGAUAUAAAAAUGUAUGAACGCUUUGCAUGCAACAUUUUGUUGCCAAUUGUCACAUUAUGAAGUGUUCGCUUAUGUCUUGGAGGUUUAAUAAUAUGUGAUAUUCAAUAAAAAAAUCUA